GAUGAACGCUAGCUACAGGCUUAACACAUGCAAGUCGAGGGGCAGCAUUUUAGUUUGCUUGCAAACUAAAGAUGGCGACCGGCGCACGGGUGAGUAACACGUAUCCAACCUGCCGAUAACUCGGGGAUAGCCUUUCGAAAGAAAGAUUAAUAUCCGAUAGUAUAUUAAAACCGCAUGGUUUUACUAUUAAAGAAUUUCGGUUAUCGAUGGGGAUGCGUUCCAUUAGUUUGUUGGCGGGGUAACGGCCCACCAAGACUACGAUGGAUAGGGGUUCUGAGAGGAAGGUCCCCCACAUUGGAACUGAGACACGGUCCAAACUCCUACGGGAGGCAGCAGUGAGGAAUAUUGGUCAAUGGACGAGAGUCUGAACCAGCCAAGUAGCGUGAAGGAUGACUGCCCUAUGGGUUGUAAACUUCUUUUAUAUGGGAAUAAAGUAUUCCACGUGUGGGAUUUUGUAUGUACCAUAUGAAUAAGGAUCGGCUAACUCCGUGCCAGCAGCCGCGGUAAUACGGAGGAUCCGAGCGUUAUCCGGAUUUAUUGGGUUUAAAGGGAGCGUAGGUGGAUUGUUAAGUCAGUUGUGAAAGUUUGCGGCUCAACCGUAAAAUUGCAGUUGAAACUGGCAGUCUUGAGUACAGUAGAGGUGGGCGGAAUUCGUGGUGUAGCGGUGAAAUGCUUAGAUAUCACGAAGAACUCCGAUUGCGAAGGCAGCUCACUAGACUGCAACUGACACUGAUGCUCGAAAGUGUGGGUAUCAAACAGG
rnacentral:rRNA from 1 species